rnacentral:rRNA from 1 species
CUGGUCUGAGAGGAUGAUCAGACCACACUGGAACUGAGACAACGGGUCCAGACUCCUACGGGAGGCAGCAGUGGGGAAUAUUGCGCAAUGGGCGAAAGCCUGACGCAGCCACGCCGCGUGAGCGAUGAAGGUCUUCGGAUCGUAAAGCUCUGUGGGGGGAGAAGAAGAAAGUCGGUGAAGAGCCGACCCUGACGGUAUCCCCUUAGCAAGCACCGGCUAACUCCGUGCCAGCAGCCGCGGUAAUACGGAGGGUGCAAACGUUGCUCGGAAUCAUUGGGCGUAAAGCGCGCGUAGGCGGCUGAACAAGUUGGAUGUGAAAGCCCUGGGCUCAACCUAGGAUGUGCAUUCAAAACUGUUCGGCUUGAGUCUCGGAGGGGGUCAGAGAAUUCUCGGUGUAGAGGUGAAAUUCGUAGAUAUCGGG